rnacentral:tRNA from 1 species
GGGGAUGUAGCUCAGAGGUAGAGCACUUGUCUAACAUGCAUAUGACCAUAGGGUUCCAUUCCCA